GACAGAGGCCUCAAGCGUUAGGCGGAAUCACUGGGCUUAAAGCGUGUGUAGGCGGAUCGUUAAGUGUCUUGUGAAAUCCCACGGCUCACCCGUGGAACUGCUGGGCAUACUGGCGAUCUUGGGCCAACUAGGGGCAACUGGAACAAGCGGUGGAGCGGUGAAAUGCGUAGAUAUCGCUUGGAACGCCAAAGGGUGAAAACAGGUUGCUGGGGUUGUGCCGACGC
rnacentral:rRNA from 1 species